rnacentral:lncRNA from 1 species
CUGUUCCUGCUCCGGCUCCUGCGGGGAUGGAUGCUUCACGCAGUAAGCGAGUAAGCGAGCCCUGGAGACCGGGGCCCUGGGUGUGCGGUCGGCUCAGUGCCACGCGGUGAGAUAGGCAUGGUUAUCAACCCACGCCAAGGCGGUUGUGUACCUGGCAUAGAAAACACUGCUGUUGAAUGUUGUUUCCAUAGUCAUUCGCCAGCGUCCACUGAUGAGAGGUGCCACCACGGACACCCGGCCUUGCUCCGUCGAAGCUUUGGUCCAUUAGGACCAAAGUCAGGCCCCAGCGGGCCUCCCUGCCAUUCCUGGACGGCCUCGCGUCCUCCCAGAGCCUGACCUUCUCUUAUCUCUGCAGCCUAAGUCGCGGAAGCGUAGACACCCGGCUUUUCCCGCGUGCUCUAUCGGGCUCCCCUGGACACGGAGGGUGGAGCAGAAAGAGCAGAGGGGCCGGUGGGAGCCAUGGGGAGUCCGCCUAGCUCCAGAGGACACCUUACCUGGAUCCGCCUUUGUAGCCUCCUCCUGGCUCUGGGGGCUGUCCUGUGGGGUCCGAGUAGCUGAAAGACAGCCCCUCCAUGAAAGUGCUGCUUUCAACAUCUGCCACAUUUGCAAGAAGAGCAAAGGUGGCCCAUUUGAGACCACCCUUGAACUAAACCAUCCAGUGAGCCCCUGAGGUCGGGACAGAAGUGGCCAUGACCUUCCUCAAGCAGGGACUGUGGUGGAGCCCACCUUAUCCAGCACAAGGUGGCCUGCUGACUUCUGGUGACAGUGAUGCCAACUUCCUGGCUGUCCAAGAAGCUGACAAGUACCUGCCGGAAAAACUGCCUCUUUUCCCUCCCGUGCUUGGAGCAGGCAUUGCUGACAGAUCACAGCUGCUGGGCCCAAAGGUCCCUUUGCACGCGGGACUUCAGGAAGUUGCUGCUGACCUAUGGGAGUUGGUGCAGAAAGAUGAAAUUUGUUAUCCUUGGCUGUAUCAACUCUCUCUCCUCUCCUUGGUGGUGAUAGUUUUGUUCUUAAAAGCCUCUUGUGAGAGAAUUUGUGGAUGAAGAACCUGUAAGAUCACAAGUGAAACAAUUUAUUGAUGUCAAUAGAUUUAUACACGUUCAUUAAGAAUCAAAACUAAACUAAAACAUCAGUCUGACUAAAGAGACCACCACAGAUAUUUCAUAUGCUGUACAUCAGUAACAAAGGGUACCAAAUAGUUAAUAUCCAUGUACUAGUCACAUGAGAAAUGUUUUAGGGUCAUUGACCAGUGUAGUCAGUACAGUGGUCCCAUGGUAUUUGUGGGGGAUUGGUUCCAGGAAUCUCUUGGACACCAACUCCGUGGAUGAUCAGACAAUAUAAAAUGUGGGUCAGGUGCGGUGGCUCAUACCUGUAAUCCCAGCAUUUUGCGAGAAUCACUUGAGGCCAGUUCAAGAUCAGCCUGUGCAACAUAGCAAGACUCCACCUCUAAAAAAAAAAAAAAAAAAAAAAA